UACCAGCACCCCGAGUGGUCGGGACGUUUAUUGGGCCUAAAGCAUCCGUAGCCGGUUCUACAAGUCUUCCGUUAAAUCCAGCUGCUUAACAGAAGGGCUGCGGAAGAUACUAUGGAGCUAGGAGGCGGGAGAGGCAAGCGGUACUCGAUGGGUAGGGGUAAAAUCCGUUGAUCCAUUGAAGACCACCAGUGGCGAAGGCGGCUUGCCAGAACGCGCUCGACGGUGAGGGAUGAAAGCUGGGGGAGCAAACCGG
rnacentral:rRNA from 1 species